ACUCAUCGGAUUUUAUUGUAUUAAGGAAAACAGCUAUGCCCAUAUAAGGCUUGUGGCUGAUUUGAUUGACAGCUCUGCACGCUGCAUCUGUCUGUCAGUUCAGGAGGCUAGCAGCUUGGUCCGUCUGAUUUCUCUUCUUUUUUCUUCGUUUGGAGAGUUUGUUUAACACAUAUCUGACAACAUACAUGGCUUGCUGUGCGGUUAACAGACCAUCCAAGAAGUUGAUGCUUCAGUUUUUUUUCGACCCCUCACUAAAAGUCCAUAUUCUCCUGGAUCCAUGUCACAUGCUCGAGCUUCUUCAGAAUGACUUUUCAACAGUCGAAGUUCUGGUGAGAGAAGAUGGCCAGCAGAUAAGACGGCAGUACAUCAACGAGCUCCACAGGCUUCAGGAGGAGGAGGAGGGUUUGUACCUUGGAAGACUGUAUUCAUGCUUCAGCUGUUCAAAUAAAAAUAGAUCUCCUCCAAACAACUUGCAAUCAAACUAUUUUCUUCCUAUUUUAAAACCCUUUGUCCAGUUUAGAUGGGAGAAGUUGAUAUUAUGUGAUAUUGAUCUGGGAAGACUACAUUUCUAAAUAAUUUUUAACUGUGUUUUUAUUCACAAGUUAUUGAUCUUAUUUACUCUCCAUGUAUCCUGAUUUAAGAAUGGGGCUGUGUUUAAGGGCAUAUUUUGCAAUGACUCUUUUCCAUCCCACUUUCAGAAAUGAACUACAUUAGUAUUUGGUAAAAAAAAAUGUCAAAAGAAUAAAAAGUUGUGUAAAAGUA